GUAUUUUGAGUGUAUAUGAGUAGGCGGAAUUGUGGUGUAGCGGUGAAAUGCAUAGAUAUCACAAGGAACUCCGAUUGCGAAGGCAGCUUACUAAAAUACAACUGACGCUUAGGCACGAAGGCGUGGGUAUCAAACAGGAUUAGAUACCCUGGUAGUCCACGCAGUAAACGAUGAUUACUCGCUGUUUGCGAUACACAGUAAGCGGCUUAGCGAAAGCGUUAAGUAAUCCACCUGGGGAGUACGUUCGCAAGAAUGAAACUCAAAGGAAUUGACGGGGGCCCGCACAAGCGGAGGAACAUGUGGUUUAAUUCGAUGAUACGCGAGGAACCUUACCCGGGCUUGAAAUGCAUUUGACCGGCUCAGAGACGAGCCUUCCCUUCGGGGCAAAUGUGUAGGUGCUGCAUGGUUGUCGUCAGCUCGUGCCGUGAGGUGUCGGCUUAAGUGCCAUAACGAGCGCAACCCUCAUCAUUAGUUACUAACAGGUUAAGCUGAGGACUCUAAUGAGACUGCCAUCGUAAGAUGCGAGGAAGGUGGGGAUGACGUCAAAUCAGCACGGCCCUUAUGUCCGGGGCGACACACGUGUUACAAUGGAUGGUACAACAGGCAGCUACUUGGCGACAAGAUGCUAAUCCCAAAAACCAUUCUCAGUUCGGAUCGAAGUCUGCAACUCGACUUCGUGAAGCUGGAUUCGCUAGUAAUCGCGCAUCAGCCACGGCGCGGUGAAUACGUUCCCGGGCCUUGUACACACCGCCCGUCAAGCCAUGGAAGCUGGGGGUACCUGAAGCACGUAACCGCAAGGAGCGUUCUAGGGUAAAACUGGUAACUGGGGCUAAGUCGUAACAAGGUAGCCGUAG
rnacentral:rRNA from 1 species